rnacentral:rRNA from 1 species
CCUACGGGAGGCAGCAGUGAGGAAUAUUGGUCAAUGGGCGUAAGCCUGAACCAGCCAAGUCGCGUGAGGGAUGAAGGUUCUAUGGAUCGUAAACCUCUUUUAUAAAGGAAUAAAGCGCGGGACGUGUGCCGUUUUGUAUGUACCUUAUGAAUAAGGAUCGGCUAACUCCGUGCCAGCAGCCGCGGUAAUACGGAGGAUCCGAGCGUUAUCCGGAUUUAUUGGGUUUAAAGGGGGCGUAGGUGGCCUUUUAAGUCAGCGGUGAAAGUUUGUGGCUCAACCAUAGAAUUGCAGUUGAUACUGGGAGUCUUGAGUAUGGUUGAGGCAGGCGGAAUGCGUGGUGUAGCGGUGAAAUGCUUAGAUAUCACGCAGAACCCCGAUUGCGAAGGCAGCUUGCCAAGCCAUGACUGACGCUGAUGCACGAAAGCGUGGGGAUCAAACAGGAUUAGAUACCCCUGUAGUC